GAUGAACGCUGGCGGCGUGCCUAAUACAUGCAAGUCGAGCGAAAAGACGAGAAGAUUGCUCCUCUGCCGUUAGCGGCGGACGGGUGAGUAACAAAUGGAUAACCAACCUAUAAGACUGGGGUAACUUCGAGAAACAGAAGACAAUAACGGAGAAUCUAAUACACCGCAUGGAUCAAUACUGAAAGACGAUUUUGUAAUCACUGAUAGAUGGAUCCGCGCCGCAUUAGCUAGUUGGUAAGGUAACGGCUUACCAAGGCAACGAUGCGUAGCCGACCUGAGAGGGUGAUCGGCCACACUGGAACUGAGACACGGUCCAGACUCCUACGGGAGGCAGCAGUAGGGAAUCUUCCGCAAUGGGCGAAAGCCUGACGGAGCAACGCCGCGUGAGUGAUGAAGGUCUUCGGAUCGUAAAACCCUGUUAUUAGGGAAGAACAAAUGUGUAAGUAACUAUGCACGUCUUGACGGUACCUAAUCAGAAAGCCACGGCUAACUACGUG
rnacentral:rRNA from 1 species